GAUGAAGAACGUAGCGAAAUGCGAUACGUAAUGUGAAUUGCAGAAUUCAGUGAAUCAUCGAGUCUUUGAACGCACGUUGCGCCCCCUGGUAUUCCGGGGGGCAUGCCUGUCCGAGCGUCAUUGCUGCCCUCAAGCACGGCUUGUGUGUUGGGCCUCCGUCCUCCUCCCGGGGGACGGGCCCGAAAGGCAGCGGCGGCACCGCGUCCGGUCCUCGAGCGUAUGGGGCUUCGUCACCCGCUCUUGUAGGCCCGGCCGGCGCUUGCCGACACAUCAAUCUUUUUUCCAGGUUGACCUCGGAUCAGGUAGGGAUACCCGCUGAACUUAAGCAUAUCAAUAAGCGGAGGA
rnacentral:misc_RNA from 1 species